rnacentral:rRNA from 1 species
UACGUAGGGGGCAAGCGUUAUCCGGAUUUACUGGGUGUAAAGGGAGCGUAGACGGUGUGGCAAGCCAGAUGUGAAAGCCCGGGGCUCAACCCCGGCCCGCCGUUGAAACUGGCAGUCUCGAGUUGGGGAGAAGUAUGCGGAAUGCGCGGUGUAGCGGUGAAAUGCAUAGAUAUCACGCAGAACUCCGAUUGCGAAGGCAGCAUACCGGCGCUCAACUGACGCUCAUGCACGAAAGCGUGGGUAUCGAACAGG